AGUAAACAAAUUCAAUUAGUGAUUAUUAAAAUAUAAAAUCAUUUAGAAUGUUCUUUAUUUAUCGUUCAAAAUAGCAUUUAUUUUUACAUGGAAAUACAAUUUUUUCUAGUUUUAGUAUUUUUAGUUAGUUCUGUUAAAAAUUUCGAUCUAUUCAAGCUGUUUUCUCGUCAGAAUGGUUCACAAUGGCGAAACUACAGUACUGUGUACAGCUAUUUUGGUGAAAGUGAACGGCUGAGAUUACGAGAUGACGCAAAGGAAAUGUUUUAUUUUGGCUAUGAUAACUACAUAAAGUAUGCUUAUCCUUUGGAUGAACUAGAUCCAAUACAUUGCACAGGACGAGGGCCAGAUUAUGACAACCCAUCAAAUAUAAAUAUUAAUGAUGUUCUGGGGGAUUACUCUUUAUCUCUGGUUGAAUCACUUGGAACAUUGGCAGUGAUGGGUAAUAGUAGUGAAUUCAAAAGAGCUGUGAGAUUAGUCAUAGACAAUGUCUCCUUUGAAAAGAAUAAUACUGUUCAAGUUUUUGAAGCUACAAUAAGAGUCCUAGGUGGUCUGCUUGCUGCUCAUUUAAUAAUCCGUGACACAAGCCAGCCAUUUGGAGACAUGCUUCCUAAGGAUUAUAAUGAUGAACUAUUAUUAAUGGCUCAUGAUUUGGGCAACAGAUUACUAAGUGCUUUUGAUAAUACAUCAUUAGGAAUUCCUUUUCCUAGGGUGAAUUUAAAAUCUGGUGUGCCAGCAUCGUCAUCAAGGACAACCUGUACAGCUGGUGUCGCUACUCUUCUCUUAGAAUUUGGGACACUGAGCAGACUCCUGGGAGAUCCAACAUAUGAGAUUACUGCAAAAAAUGCGCUGGAAGCAUUAUGGAAAUUUAGGUCAAAAACGACUGGUCUUUUAGGCAACAUUAUCGACAUAGUUUCUGGUGAAUGGAUCUCUGGUAUGAGUGGGAUUGGUGCAGGCAUGGAUUCACUUUAUGAAUAUCUAUUGAAGGGUUACAUUCUUUUUGGUGACCCAAACGAUUUACGAAAAUUUAACGAGUUGUACCGAAGUGUGAAGACAUAUAUGAGAAGAGGACGCAAAUUUUGUAAUUCUGGUAAUGGCGAUGUUCCUAUAUAUGUUAAUGUAAAUAUGGACGAUGGAAAAAUAUUAAACACUUGGGUGGACUCGCUCUCCGCUUCAUUUGCAGCCGUUCAGGUUUUAAACGGUGAUGUUGAUGAUGCCAUUUGCACGCAUGCUCUAUAUUACGCUAUUUGGAAACGUUAUGAUGCGUUACCGGAGAGAUUUGAUUGGAAUUCACGUGUCUCUCACGUGCAUUUCUAUCCGUUACGUCCCGAGUUAGUGGAGUCUACGUAUUUACUUUACCAAGCGACCCAACAUCCUUUCUAUCUUCACGUAGGCAAGGAUAUCAUGCAUGAUUUGCAGACACAUGCUAAAGCAAGGUGUGGUUACGCAACUCUGCACAAUGUUAUGGAUAAAUCACAAGAAGAUAGAAUGGAAAGUUAUUUCUUGUCGGAAACUUCAAAAUAUCUUUAUCUAUUGUUUGACCGAGACAACCCGGUAAACAAGCAAGCUUCAAAAUAUAUUUUCACAACCGAAGGACAUUUUUUCAAGUUGGAUAAAUCAAUGUGGAAUGUAGAUUCAGAAUUUUACGAUAUGACCGGAGGUUAUCGAUAUGACGUCACUGAAGUAUCGAGAUCCAAUGUUAGUGAUUGGGGGUGUGAAGUCGUGUCCGAUCACAAAAAACGUCCUCUACCGUUGGAACUACGUUAUCUUCAACAAGUUGAAAGUUUAGUUGGCGUGAGGAACUAGGGAAACACUAUAACACUAGCUCUACUGAUUUUGAGGUUAUACAUGAUGAAGUAAUGAAGGUGUAAAACGGGUUAGGAGUCAACCAAAUUUUGGUAACAAUUGAUUUCUUGUUGAAAUCUAAUAUUUUAUAGACCUAUCAAAAAAUAAACGAAAUCGAAAACAUUGUUUCGUGUCCCAAUGUGUACCUUUAUUUGCGUUAUCUUCUUAACUUACAGCUCCCCCCUACAGACUGUAGGUUACUGCAUAUCUUGAAGUAUAUUACCGUAUUGUAUAAUGCGAGGUACACUCAUAUACUGAUCUUGAAGUAUAUUACUGGACUACCGUAUUGUAUAAUGCGAGGUACACUCAUAUACUGUACAUCACUGUUAAUUGUACUACCGGGUACGAGAUAGUGCAGUUCACUCACUAUACGCUGUAAAAGAACAAUUGAAAAAACGUGCAAAACCUCAAAUGGGUAGCAUUAUUUAUCAUGCAUUAUUUAUCAUAUGAUAAUAUACAGUUAUGUGCAAAUAUGACCUGAAAUAUAUUGGUAAUAUAGCGUUAAAAUAAUUUUUAACUGCAUAUUUCUUUGUUCUAC
rnacentral:misc_RNA from 1 species